rnacentral:rRNA from 1 species
UACGUAGGGUGCAAGCGUUAAUCGGAAUUACUGGGCGUAAAGGGCUCGUAGGCGGCCAACUAAGUCGGACGUGAAAUCCCCAGGCUCAACCUGGGAACUGCGUCCGAUACUGGAUGGCUUGAAUCCGGGAGAGGGAUGCAGAAUUCCAGGUGUAGCGGUGAAAUGCGUAGAUAUCUGGAGGAACACCGGUGGCGAAGGCGGCAUCCUGGACCAAUAUUGACGCUGAGGAGCGAAAGCCAGGGGAGCAAACGGG